UUCAGGAAACAUUAAAUCCUCGUUUUAAAGAAAGUAGCCCCAGACACCUUGGGAAACCGACACCCGCCGUUCUCGUGGGGGGGAGGGAAAAGUCGUGGAAAGAUGCUCUGUCAGCGUAAAGUGAACUGCGAUUUUGACUUUGCAGAGCGGUGGGCCACGUCACAGUGACCUGCAUUCCGUUGUUGGUGUGGCAUCCUCGGGUUUCACAGGGUUUGUCUCCGUAGGCAGCUUCUAAAACAAUGUUCAUGAAGCUUUUGACCUUGUUAGAUGGAGUGUCAGAUACUACAGAAGUGUUAAAUAUAAUGGCCAACUGAGAAAGUCAUGUGAUAAAUGGAACGUUUUCUAACGGGUGGGCCGUUAAAAAUUUAUUAUUUCAAGUUUUCGAAGGCCAUUACCUUGAGUUUUUCGUAUGUUCUUGUCUUAGAAAUUGUGGAAUCAAGGAAGCUGAGGGGGUGCUCUGUCAAAAUGAGGGAAGAAACCAAGAGGAAGGCGUGAGAUGCUGGAACCAGGGAUUCCAACUAGUGUCGCAAAGGAAUAAAGUGUUCCAAAACCCAGACACGAGCUCUCCACAGGGGAGUAGAUGCACUGGAGUUAUUUUAAGGAGAAAGAGUGUCCGUCAUCUCGUGCCUGGGAGACCUACUGUUGCCAUCUUCUCAGCGACUGUAGCUGUUGGAAUAGUUGUGCCUGCAGUCCUCAGGGCAGUGUGGUGCACAUGAGGAGAGACCGGAAGUUGUUAUCCGGAGAAGCUGAACUGAAGGUGCUCUGGACUCCAGGACACUGGUCCCCGCGGAAAGUGACAGGGAGGCAGAGCUUGCUGGGACAGGACUGCCCACCUCCCUACUCCACUCCUCCCUGUGACCCAGCAGCAUUAGACCAUCUGCAGAUGCUUCUAAACCAGGGAGGUCAAUCAGGAGCCUGAGUCCCACGUGCAUCCCAGACUAGACCCGGAAAGGGCUUUCGCAUUGUGAUGUGGGCACACCUCCAUUCUGCACCUUAUAAGCACAGGUAUCCGUGUGGGAGGGGAUUCUGGACAGCCCCCCCUUUACAGACGAAGAACUAAAGCCAGGAGAGGAGUCAGCCACGCCUCCCUGGCUGAUUCUUCUCUGUUCUCUUUCUGUUUCCUUCUCACCUUCUUCCUGAUCUCUAAAUGUUGGUGUGCCCAGAGCUCAGCACACAGACCCUCCCACACUAUGGCAGGAACCUCACCCAGGCCUGUGGCUUUUAUGCACCACUCACAUGCACCUGUGGGCCGCUUUCAGCCGUGGAUCCGUAGCCCAGACUCUCUGCCGGACUCCAGGCUCAUACAUCCAACUGCCCACUCAGGGUCCCCUCUGGGAUGCCUCAUGGGUGUCUCUCUUUGCGUGGGUCCAAACUGAGUUCCUGACCUUUCGUUCUCCCAGUGCAUUUGAGUUCGUGGCAAUUCCAUCAUUGCUCAAGCCAAUAACCUUCGAGUCACUCUUGGCUUCUGUUUCUCACAGACUCCUGCCCAAACCAUCAGCAGAUCUGCUCCUUCCCAUCUCCGCCCCACCACCCUGCUUUGAGCCACCAUCAGCCCUGGUUUGGUUUGUAGUGGUCUUCUCUUUGGUCUCCCUGCUUCCACUCUUGGGCCCUGUGGUCUGUUAUAAACUAACUGAGAAGCCAGGCUAUCCUGGGAAGAUAAAAGUCAGCUGAGGUCCCUGCUCAGCAAAAACCCCUCCAAUGGCACCCCAUCCCAGAAAUAGUACUGUUCCAUGUUACCCUUCCACCUGAGGUCCUGGCCCACAUUCCCUCCCUGCUCCCUCCAUGCCAGCCACAGUGGCCCCCCAGUACACCAGGUGUAGAUGCACCCACACCUUGAGGCCUUGGUAUUUGCAUCUCCUCUGCUUGGCACACUCCACACCCCCACCCCACCCCCACCCCCCGCUCCCAGGUAUCUGCAUGCCUACUCCCCCUCCUCCUGGGCACACCUUCACUCCUCCUCCUUAUGCAAACCCCAUCUUGCCAGUGAGGUCUUCCCUAACCUCCUCAAUUUAAGUUGUACCCCCCUCCAUUUUCUGUCCCCCCUUUCUACUUUAUUUUCCUCCAUGACGCUUACCACCAAACAGGCUAUAGUUUGUUUAUUUUGUUUAUUUUUCUCCUCUGACUGGAAUAUAGUAAGUUCCCCGAGGGCAGAGAUUUUUAUCAGAUGCACAGUAAGGGCUCCGUAAAUAUUCGGUCAACGUAGAAAGAACAGGAAUCAGAGGUUCUGGCGUGUGUGUGUCACCUUUUCCCAUGAAUGCCGUUGCACUUAGCCAGUGAAUGAAAGAGGAAGAGAACACCUUAGAUCAAUGCCUCCUUGAUGAGGGACACUGAUCAACUUUGAGGGGCACUGAGGCCUAGUGAGGGGAAGGAUAUCCCAGAUAAUCACAGAACACGACUUCAGAGCUGGGACUGGAUCCCUCACACCCAUCUCCCCGAGUGUAUGCUCUGAUCUCCCUGCCACCCACGGCUAGAUAGAGGCCACUCCGUGCUGACAGCAAGUUCCAGUCUCAUAAGCCACAAAUAAGAACGAGGAACAAAGAAAACAAAGAAGUGAGGUGUGGGGAGGGGGUAUUUUUAGCUUUGUUGGUUUCUAAGUGCAUACAUAUAUAGAAAGGUCUAUAAGUAUGGCUAUAUAUAGUUAUUAAAUCAGGAAGCAAGUUGAGUGGGGGGUCAGCUUUUCCGGGGGUGGCUGUGAGCCUGUUGCAACAUGAACAGUUUUGGAUCAGAGUGGCUGAUUCCGAGGAAAGUGGCCUGCUGAGUCAACUGGAAGCUGCCUACCUCACGCCAGGAGUCCAGAAAGAGUCCAGGGAGCUAUAUCCUCCUUUUUCCUCUCCUCAGUCAGCCAGAAGAAGCAGUGAAAUUCCAAGACCCACCCAAAACCCGGUUCCUGGCCAAGGCUUUUAUGGUCAAAAUCUCCCUUGUGUAGAUGGCGAUUCUGAAGAUGGAUGCUGAGGGGAAACCUGGAGCCCCUGCACCCAGCCGACCAGAGACACCUGCCUUUGGCCAUCGGGAACUUUCCCAGACCUCAGGCCAGGCUAAAGGAUGAGGCCUGGGUCAGCACGGAGCACUUCUUAUUAGCCAGACACUGUUCACUACAUUUGAUCUCAUUUCAUACAACACCUUACUAGGGAGGUACUUUUAUAAUCAUCUCCAUUUCACAGUUGGAGAAACUGAGGCAAAGACUGGAUAAGUAGUGUACGCAGGUCUCCUCUUAGGUGGCAGACCCAAGCAGUCUAGCCUCACCGUCCAGGCCCUUAACCACGAGCCACACUGGCUAGAGGGCGGGAAACCUGGGUCAACGCCCAAACUGUGUGGCCUUCAUUCAUUCAGCAAGUGUUUACUGAGUAUUUACUAUGUGCAUGGUACCUCUGGGCUCUGGGAUGUGUGGCUGGCUCCAGGGCUGGAGGCCACAAAUCUCUGGCUGGACAGUGAGCUAAGUGAUGAAUGUAGAGCAAGCACAUUGGUUGCUUGUGGAAAGUGAAUGAGGGCAGGUCUUUCCUCUCACCUGGGGCAGCCUGAGGGAGGUAUCCUGAUUCGAGCCGUAGAAACAGGGGCUGGUGUCCCUCUGUGCAGCAGGAGAAGGACCAAGCCCUGGAGUUGGGGCAGAUCCCUGCCCUGGUACAGAUUAUGUUAUAGUUGGGGAGACACAGACAAUGACCACAAAUAAAUGAGAUAAUUAGGAUGGUUACAAAGGCCCUAAAGAAAACAGGGUGGUGGGACGGCCCUAGGUUGAACUGUGUUCCCCAAGAAGUUAUAUGUUGGUGCUGUCCCCUAGAAUGUGGCUUUAUUUAUCAAGGUAAUCGAGUUAAAAUGAGAUUAUGGUGGGCUCCCACCCAUUAUGACUGGUGUCCAUAUAAAAAAAGGGAAAUCUGGACAGAGGUACAUGGGCACAAGGCCACGUGAAGAUGAAGAGACCAGGGUGAUGCAUCGACAAGGAACACCAGAUUUCCACAAACAGCUGGAAGCUGGGAGAGAGGCCUGGAACAGAUUCUCCUCAGAAGGAUCCAGCCUCUCUGACGUCUUUAUCUUGGGCUCCUAGCCUCAGGGACUAUGAGAAAAUAAAUCUUUGUUUCUUAAGCCA